rnacentral:tRNA from 1 species
ACCAGGAUGGCCGAGUGGUUAAGGCGUUAGAUACAAUGGAUGUAUAUCCGUGUGGGUUUGAACCCCACUCCUGGUA